AUUGAACGCUGGCGGCAGGCUUAACACAUGCAAGUCGAGCGGAGAUGAGGUGCUUGCACCUUAUCUUAGCGGCGGACGGGUGAGUAAUGCUUAGGAAUCUGCCAUUUAGUGGGGGACAACAUUCCGAAAGGAAUGCUAAUACCGCAUACGUCCUACGGGAGAAAGCAGGGGAUCUUCGGACCUUGCGCUAAAUGAUGAGCCUAAGUCGGAUUAGCUAGUUGGUGGGGUAAAGGCCUACCAAGGCGACGAUCUGUAGCGGGUCUGAGAGGAUGAUCCGCCACACUGGGACUGAGACACGGCCCAGACUCCUACGGGAGGCAGCAGUGGGGAAUAUUGGACAAUGGGCGGAAGCCUGAUCCAGCCAUGCCGCGUGUGUGAAGAAGGCCUUUUGGUUGUAAAGCACUUUAAGCGAGGAGGAGGCUACCUGGAUUAAUACUCUAGGAUAGUGGACGUUACUCGCAGAAUAAGCACCGGCUAACUCUGUGCCAGCAGCCGCGGUAAUAC
rnacentral:rRNA from 1 species